rnacentral:snoRNA from 1 species
GAGAUCGUACUUCUAGGGAUCAGUCCUAUAGUACGUAUCACCAGGACGUCAAACAAACUAGACCCUGGCUAACCCACCGCGAUGAUGAUCAGUGCGGCCUAGUCCUGAGCGUGAAGCAGGUGUGUGGCUGUCCGUCUAGCUGACUCCCUAUGGAGUUUGUCCGUGCGGACUUGGCCGCCUCCUUGU